UACGGAGGGUGCAAGCGUUGUCCGGAUUUAUUGGGCGUAAAGGGAGCGUAGGUGGAUCUUUAAGUGAGAUGUGAAAUACCCAGGGCUCAACUCGGGUGCUGCAUUUCAUACUGGAGGUCUAGAGUGCAGGAGAGGAAAGUGGAAUUCCUAGUGUAGCGGUGAAAUGCGUAGAUAUAGGAAGAAUAUCAGUGGCGAAGGCGACUUUCUGGACUGUAACUGACACUGAGGCUCGAAAGCGUGGGGAGCAAACAGG
rnacentral:rRNA from 1 species